AGGACGAACGCUGGCGGCGUGCUUAACACAUGCAAGUGGAGCGACGAACCAGGGCUUGCCCUGGGGCAGAGCCGCGAACGGGUGAGUAACACGUGGGUUACCUGCCUCGAUGACCGGGACAACCCGAGGAAACUCGGGCUAAUACCGGAUGUGCCCGCAAGGGGAAAGGAAGCUUCGGCCUCCGCAUCGAGAUGGGCCCGCGGCCCAUUAGCUUGUUGGUGAGGUAACGGCUCACCAAGGCUUCGAUGGGUAGCUGGUCUGAGAGGACGAUCAGCCACACUGGGACUGAGACACGGCCCAGACUCCUACGGGAGGCAGCAGUGGGGAAUCUUGCGCAAUGCGCGAAAGCGUGACGCAGCAACGCCGCGUGGGGGAAGAAGGCUUUCGGGUUGUAAACCCCUUUCAGUUGGGACGAAGCUUCUUUGGUGAAUAGCCAAACGGAGUGACGGUACUUCAUAAGAAGCACCGGCUAACGUACGCGCCAGCAGCCGCGGU
rnacentral:rRNA from 1 species